GGUUGCUGAAAAUAAUAUGUUAAAGAUGAUUUUAUAUGUAACCAACCAGGGAGUAAAGAACUCUGGCAUGCAGAGCUCUGAUGAUUCUGUGUAUGUGUGUAGAAGGGUGUUAAUGUAGAAAGUUAAGAAGAACAUUGUUUACGGGAAAUUUUAACUGCAAUCCUUUUAUGAGCAUAUUUCUCUACAGGAAGGAUAUACAAAAUUAUACCACAACUAUAAGCUUCUAGGAAGUGUAAGACAUUCAUUUAUAAGAUGUACAUUGGAGCUGCCAAGUAUUAAACAAGAUAAAGAGAUCCCCACCCACGAGAUAUGCUGAGACUGUAGGACAUGGAUGUGGACGGCAAGCUUUCAAAACUGCCAGAGAGUGUCCAGACAGCAGAGAAGUUCUGUACCUGGGUCUGGAGGUGGAGGGCAAGAACAGCACCUGCAUCAACGGAGUCACUUCUGGAUUCCACACUGAAGUUCACAUAAGAAAAACAUUCUGAAAAUACUUCUUCAUCUUUAUCUCUGCACAAUAGCUCAGUUUUGAGUCCCUUUUUAUGUGUGACAGUCUAUAGCGGAGCUCUUCUGUGAAAUUUCACAUUGAUCCCAACAUUACAACUUAUCUGACACUUUACACUUUUAUCUUCUUGAAGGAAGAAUACACUGUCACCAAAUAAACUUGUUAAUAAAGUGA